GAUCUUUUUAUUUUUCUUGUUUUGGUUAAUCACUAAUAGUUGGUUGGUUCUUCAAGUCACCACAAUUUUGGGGUAUGUGAGAGAACUGAGACAAAUUGUAGAAAAGUUUCCCAGAUUUUUUUCGAUCUAAAUCGAGAUGUUUGUGUAGUACUUUCAUUUCAUUUAACUCUUCGUAGUUGUGUCCAUCACAAUCUAAAGUAUUCUUGGGAAAUGUAAGUGAGCACAAGUAUCUACGGUCUCCCUCUAUCUUGGGUUAAUGUGGGGACAAAUUAAGCUUCCUCUUCAAAGAGUGCCCAUGCCCAGAAACCCUCGUGAUACUUCAUUGAUUCAGAGGGAUGGACAGAGUUCUAUUGAAGCUACCUUCAAUUAGAAAAUAACAGAUCACAACUCAUAGCUGGAAAUACUCAAAGAAAGUGUUAUAGCUUUGCCAUACAACAUUUAAUUUAUUAUUAAAUGUGAAAAAGGUAGCAUAAUGACAGUGUUGCCUGGCUUGGCACCACGGCCCACCUGAUUUGUGUGUUUUGCCACAUGAUUUAGAAAGUUCCAACCAUAUGGACAGGUAGGGUCCACUUUGGAUUAGCCAUUUAUCAAAUUUGUUGGUCUAAUUCCAUGAUUCCAUCAUAUGGCUCAUUUGUAU